rnacentral:miRNA from 1 species
AUGUGUGCAUGCCCACGCAUGUGUGCAUGCAUGCAUGUGUGUAUGUGCAUGUAUGUAUG